UACGUAGGGCGCAAGCGUGUCCGGAAUUAUUGGGCGUAAAGAGCUCGUAGGCGGCUUGUCACGUCUGCUGUGAAAUCCCGGGGCUCAACCCGGGCGUGCAGUGGAUACGGGCUGGCUAGAGGCAGGCAGGGGGAGAACGGAAUUCCCGGUGUAGCGGUGAAAUGCGCAGAUAUCAGGAAGAACACCCGUGGCGAAGGCGGCUCUCUGGGACGGUACUGA
rnacentral:rRNA from 1 species